UGAAUGGCCGAACUCCCUCGUCUUCUUCCGGAUGCGGUCGUCUUUUUCCGUAUCCGGUUCUCGGACGCAUCCGUUAGCUAUCGGAAAUUUUCGGAAAGACUCGGGCGGAGCGUUUGAUCUAACUAAGGCAAAGAGGAAAAGUAACUUCAACCCCACUGUUUACACCAAAGAUGAAACACCAUAUUUCAUCAAAUGAUUUUCAAGACUUAACAUGGGAAAAAUCAUGUUUCUGUAUUUUUUUUUAUCCAUGAAGUCGAUUAGUUCUUUACUACCUAUGAAUAUUGGAUUGGCACUAACAGUUAAUAUGAUUUUUAAAAAAAAUUUGAAUGCUUAUGCAUUAGUCUGUUUUACCUUCAACAAGAGAUUAAGCGUUCCUCACUUCCAUCUAUUCAAUUGGUAUCGUAACAAGCCAUGAAAGAGGACAUCAAUAUUAGCAUGUAACAAUGAUUAAAGAUUCUUUUUUGCUA